GCCCGAUUAGUUGGCUUGCAGAUUUCCUUGCCACCUGGCUAUCCAACUUUCUUCCUUCUUUCGAGGGCUCGCUUGUGCUGUAGCUAAGCCAACGUGUGGAGCCUGCAUCUACAUGGGAUUAGGCGAUUGCCUUCUCCUGUCGAGUCAACGAAAUUCCAUGAUUUUGCAAAUAGACUGAAAAAUUAGGAACUCGUUGCGCCCAUUCUCCUGUGGCUUGGUCACAGAGUCUCAUCAGGGUCGAUUCUGUGCUGGCACUUUCCCCCCAUUCAUACGCCGUCUAUGGAGGAAAGACUCCCGGUACAGCAUAUACGAGCUGGACACAGCUGGCAUACAAUGUGCCAGCUGCUUUGACACCAUACCAAUUGACCCCUACCAGACGCUCCUUUCCCUAGGCUGGUCCGCAACUCGCUGACGACCCCACCGAUCCCGCCCUUCCGGCUAUUCCGAUUUCCAUGUCCAAUUGGGGCGGAACUGUUACAGCUUGCUUCAGCUUAGAAUGUCCCUUGUCCUUUGUCCUCCAUCGUCCUUUCGCCAUGUUAAGGCCUGUAUCCCUAACUCGCCAUUGAGCUAUACAUGUUAAUUUCCCAUGGCACCGCUGUCAAAAUGAACAUGGAUUUCCUCUACCCUACCCCUCGCGUUCCGCGUAUAUUCCAUCUUUCUUUCGCUGGGCGGCGUUUAUCGUACCACCCCGCAACAUCAGCACCUUGGACGCCUCAACUGCUUACCAUAGGGCUGCUACGACCAUAUUGUUCCGACUUUUCCGACUUCGCGGAAAUGUCUGUUACCGUGCUUGAUUUGUCGUUUUGUCUAUGUGAUAAUAGACUGUUAUUUCACAUGAUAAUUCCAACAUAUCUCGCUUGGACCAGCGGUGAGGGCUGGACAACAAACGAUAGGCUAUCUACGGCAUAUGAGAGUUAUCCCGUACCAUACUACCGGGUUUGGAGUCAUUUGACAGCGCCAAUUAUUGGA
rnacentral:sRNA from 2 species